UUCUCAGCCUUGAAACAAAACUUGUUUUCAGAACCCUAUUGUCGAUAAGAAUUGGGGAGCAAAGAGGAUAAUAAAUUCUUGUUCCAUAGGGGCUGUCUUUUCGCAGUCAGUUCCUUGUACCAUCCUUACACAGUAAUCGGACUCCCUUCCAGUACAGGCAAAUUCAUUGAUCCAAGAGUUGUUAGAAUUUCAUUUUUCUUUGUGAUGGCUAGCCUCACCAGUCUUUUCUGUGUUGUCCUCCUUGUUUCCUCAGCCUUGAUGGUGCAUCAUGCCGCUGCACAAGAAAUGUGCCACAAUCUAAUUCCUGGAAAUGGGAAUUGUGAUGCCUCAACAUGCCAGAUGCAGUGCUCCAGCUUAAACCAGGGAACAGGAGCAUGCACUCAAACUUUUACAAAUCGAUUCAAUUGCAUUUGCAACUGGGAAUGUUCUUAGUUUAUCCAAGCCAUAAUCAACAGACUAGAAUUGUCCGAGCAUGUAAAUUCAGAUGUUGUGAAAAAAUAUUAUGCUUAAAGUUAUACUUGUUUCUUCCAAUGCAUUAAGAAGUUCAAACUUG